AUUGAACGCUGGCGGCAGGCCUAACACAUGCAAGUCGAGCGGCAGCGGGAAAGUAGCUUGCUACUUUUGCCGGCGAGCGGCGGACGGGUGAGUAAUGCCUGGGGAUCUGCCCAGUCGAGGGGGAUAACUACUGGAAACGGUAGCUAAUACCGCAUACGCCCUACGGGGGAAAGCAGGGGACCUUCGGGCCUUGCGCGAUUGGAUGAACCCAGGUGGGAUUAGCUAGUUGGUGAGGUAAUGGCUCACCAAGGCGACGAUCCCUAGCUGGUCUGAGAGGAUGAUCAGCCACACUGGAACUGAGACACGGUCCAGACUCCUACGGGAGGCAGCAGUGGGGAAUAUUGCACAAUGGGGGAAACCCUGAUGCAGCCAUGCCGCGUGUGUGAAGAAGGCCUUCGGGUCGUAAAGCACUUUCAGCGAGGAGGAAAGGUCAGUAGCUAAUAUCUGCUGGCUGUGACGUUACUCGCAGAAGAAGCACCGGCUAACUCCGUGCCAGCCGCCGCGGUAA
rnacentral:rRNA from 1 species